rnacentral:rRNA from 1 species
UUCCUAGGGGCGCAGCAGUGGGGGAUAUUGCACAAUGGGGGGAACCCUGAUGCAGCGACGCCGCGUGGGUGAAGGAGCGUUUCGGCGCGUAAAGCCCUAUCGGCAGGGAAGAAGAUGACGGUACCUGACCAAGAAGCCCCGGCUAACUACGUGCCAGCAGCCGCGGUAAUACGUAGGGGGCAAGCGUUAUACGGAUUUAUUGGGUUUAAAGGGUGCGUAGGCGGAUUUUUAAGUCAGCGGUAAAAUGUCCGGGCUCAACCCGGGCCGGCCGUUGAAACUGGGGAUCUUG